AUUACCCACGUUCGAGUCCGGUACGAAGAUGAUAAAAAAUUGGAACGGUGCCAAUAGAAGACGUUAAAGAUUUCUUCCCCCGUCACCAGCAAGACUUCAAGUCCAAAUCCCUCUAUUUAGUCAAAUGGACGGACGACAGUGGAGACAGCGAUUACUAUAGGGCCCGGAUUCUGGCACUGGGAGAAUCGGAGGACUUCGCGGAGACAGAGGCCAGAGAGAGAACGCGUAUUCCGAAGAGGGUUUAUUCGCCGGCGUCUUCGGACUACGAGAAUGAAGCGGAGAGCCCUAUCAAAGAAAAA